AACGUAGGAGACAAACGUUAUCCGGAGUUACUGGGCGUAAAGGGCGUGUAGGCGGUUUCGUAAGUCUGGCGUGAAAUUUCCCGGCUUAACCGGGAGUGGUCGUCGGAUACUGCGGGACUAGAGGACGGUAGAGGCGUGUGGAAUUCCGGGUGUAGUGGUGAAAUGCGUAGAGAUCCGGAGGAACACCAGUGGCGAAGGCGACACGCUGGGCCGUACCUGACACUGAUGCGCGACAGCAUGGGGAGCAAACAGG
rnacentral:rRNA from 1 species